UGGCUUAAAUUGACAUAAAUGUGAAUACACUCAGCGGUAUAUCGUUGAUAUAUCACUUAACUUAUGUUCAAAACUCUAUAUAAUUUCUCGAUUUUUACGUAUUUAUUAUACAGAGAAAAGAUCUCAUCUCCACUUACAUCCAACCUGCUGCACUGUACCAUAACUGUACUAUUGGCUUGGCAACUAAGUGAUCGCGGAUUUUCUCAUUAGGUGGUAUUGACAAAAUCCGCAACCACUUAGUUGCCAACCCAAUAUACUGUACUAUUUCGCAAUACGAUGUAAGAUAAGCAAAUUUAUUAGAACGCAAGCUAUCGAUACACAGAGCGAAGUAAUUAGCAAGAUAAGAGUCUAGAAAAUGAAGGUAAACACGGUGACUAAGACGAGAGGCAAUCGUUAUGAUAAACAAUAAUUAUAAGACAAGCUAAUGACUCAAACCUCUCGAAACAGAGAACACGGCUGACGUGUAAAUUCGCGAAUAUCUUUGCUUAACAACGUGCACGCGUUUAUACUUUAUCGGUACAUACGCAACAACGGAAACGUUUUAAACAAAGAUAUUGCAGGGUCAGACUGUUUAACGAACGACCUUUCCAGAGUUGAGCCAACGUUAUGUGGCGGCGGUAACGGUUUCGAGGCAAUGAGGUUCGCAUGGUAUCGCGUUCUCAGUCGCGGAUCGUGUCCUUUUCGCCUCGAUAUUUCAUGGCUCGCGGACGUACUAUUCCCUCACGCUUCCUACUCGCGCACAUCGCCGCAACACUCAUCUUCCUGUUCCACGGCUCGACAUUUAUCCACGGCUGUGACAGAUAGGCUCACAGUGCAGAAACUCUCGAAGGAGGGGAGAAAAUUAAAGAGGAGAAAAGAAAUGGCAACGAUCGAUGAAAGAAAAUACCACAGACGCGUCAGAAUGACGUAGUAUACACGGUGUGAGGAGAAAAAUAUAAUGAAAGCAGUUGUCAACGAUGUGCAAAGUGAUUUCAGGAUGAAUUAUAGAGCCGGCUAACCGCAAACCUACUGCUAUACGCGCGAUUGCUUACGCGUUUACACGGAUAUUGCUCGUGUCUGGUGCCUAAUAAAAACCGUAGAUUUACCGUAGCAGUGAUAUCAUCCGAGAAAGUGCAGGCGCAAUUGGAUUAUUUAAUAUGCAAUAAUUCAUCGUGCCUAUGGUGAAUCGGCGCGAAAUUACGAUAUCAAAGAAGAGGAGAAAAGAAAAAGAAACGGGGUAAUAAAGAGAUACGGCUCAUAUAUGCAUAUAUGUAUAUAUGUAUAUCAGCUAAUAUAGAAAGACCACCCUGUACGCGAGAGGGACAUUCGUGGGAAGUAUUUAACACCGACUAACGAAACGAAGCAACAAGACUAUCGAGAGAGCUACUGACCUUCCAUUCAGUCAUUGAAUCAAGGCGAUUUUGAGCGGCUAAUCUACACUUGCGGCUCGUUGAAUGGCUUCGAUCUACCAUGUAUUACAGGGAGGCCUAGUGACACACAGGUUCCGACAAAAUUGCCGCUAAUGCCCUACACACUGAGCCGGACCUGUUUGUGCCGCUUAACGAAGUUUGAAAGGGUUCAGUUAUUAGAGAGAAUCGUAAAAGACACGCUCCGCUCACUGGCCACCAGUUAUACUUCGAAGGAUCGAGUAUAAUACCCAGCAAAAAGUGAACAGCGCGUCAAAGAAUACCGGCUAGGUGUUAAAAGGAAAAGCAUCCGUUCGAAUCUGUUAACUUUAAUUGUUAUAUUCUUUAAUAUACUUAUAUAGUUUGAUUUAUGAUUUUUAUAUUUUGAUAUUUCUCAAGUUCAAAGUUGUAAAUUUAAAAUUAAUUAAAUUGAUAGUGCCUUUUUCCCUUUAAACUUCUACAUUUAGAUUCUAAUUUUGAUUUUCAUUCGAUUUUAUCAAAUCUAGAUUUUAAAUUCUAGCGGGCAAAGAAUAAGAAAUUUCUUUAGACGUGUAUUUAUUGACCCACAUCGAUCAUAACACGAUAUUUAUGCAGACAUCGGUCAGACAGUUCGCACAUCGGCAUCAUUUAUUUACAAAGACCAUACACCACUAUUAGAUCAUGCUAAUUCUUGUUCUACUUACAGUUCUUUUCAAAGAACAAUGAACAACCCGUCGUGACUGGCUUUUACUUUAAAUUACUUUCAUCGAAGCAAUAUCAAUGUGUCACUGAAAAUUUAUUGAAAAUUUAUGAAAUCGUUAACAUAUCAUUAUGAGUUAAACGAUAACAUUUCUGUAGACUGUGUAUUAUAUAUGCGUAUACUUUUUAACUCUCGUUUUCUUUAAUAUAUUACUAACUUAUUUAUCCGGUAACUUCUUCCAUAAUGGAUUUAAGAAAAUACUCUUUUCAUUUUCAUUUAUCGACUACCUUCCUCCCUCGUCACAAGCAACAACAUAAAUACAUAAUCACAUACUGCCUCCGCCUAUUUCCAUCGUUAUACAUACAUUACACGCGUACCAAUUAUUUUAAUUUUAAAACACACUCCUAUCUUAAAUCAACAUCCUACCUCCCAGAGCAUAUACUCCAAUAUAUUUAAUAAUAUAAUAACAGCCUGCACACUACAGAAUAUAUUAUGUUAUUACAAUAUCCAAUAAACUAUUACUAUAUAGUAUCCAAUAAAUAUUUCAAUCACUGAGUUAUACGUGUUCCAGUCAUUGAGGAAAAUGGAUAAUUGAGGAAAAUCGAUGUCUUUAAAAUUCAGGUACUACUAAUGUUGUAAAACUUAUAUAAAUCGACAAAAUUGUCAUGAGAAAUUACAAAUUGGUUCUUUCAACUACCCUAGCAGAUUCAGUGUUAAACAAGAGGAACCACAAUUAAACAAUUAUGUAUCUAAUUAAAACAGAGAUCCGCUAUUAUUCUUAAUAUAAUUUCAAAUUUGCCGCGGCUAUCGUAACUCGCCUAUCGCUGUCGUUGAUAUCGAUUCGUUAACAACAGUUGAUCGCGAUACAUUAAAAUAUAGAUUUUUAUGAAAAAGAGAAGAAGAAGGAAAAUGAGGCAACCUGCACGAUCCAAGCUUAUUCACGUGUUGAAUUGGAAGACAAACGCGCAAACAAAGGUGGAACAAAUAGACACCUGCGAGCAACUUUCGAGACGAAAAUGCCCUCGGCCUACUUCCCGCCAUGAAUAAUACUCAUUUUUGCAUUAUCUGGUUUUCAUCUGUGGCCAGUGGACGGUUGCGUUUCUCUUUGCCGAAUGAGAGGUACAUAAUACUUUGUCUCUUCUCUUUUACUCGUGACUUUUGUGAACCAUGCCUUCCAAAAACGUGAACUUAAUUUCAGAAGUGAAUUAUGUACACUAUUACAACUUACAUUAAACUAUACACAUAUGAA